CGAUUUUCUCGCGUCUCAGUCCUCAGUCUGCUUCCGUCGCUGACAUAGGUCAGGGAAGCUGGUCCCGCGACGCUUCAUAUAUUGAUCAUUGAUACUGAUAUCCGAGAUAACAGUAUCGAAUCGAAAUAGUAGAUCCUAAGAAAAGUGUCAUCGUUGCCCCGGCGUUGCACGUCGGCAGAAAUUGCUUCAGUCCAAUCUCCGACCCUGCUGACUCUUCAACAGGUGGCCGAAAUCGAUCUCUCACGUAUAACAGUGGACUGAUCCUUUAAUUCACGGCCCAUGGAUCGACGCUGCUGGCGAAUACUUCGCUUCGGAAUUUCUUCCGGAUAAUUCCCCGAAUCGCAUUACCGACGAGGUAGAGGCGACCAGGGAGAGUAGAAAGUUCUCUUUCUUUUUUCGAAGGAAAGCAACAUAAUGGAUACCCACAACACAACUGCAGCUAAUAACCUGUCGGAGGACAUGAUGUCGAAUCUGAUGGUGCAGAUAGUGUUCUACGUGAUCUACAGUAUUAUCUUCAUACUGGGACUAUUCGGUAACGUGUUGGUGAUCUUUGUCGUCGGGCGAAACCAUCGUAUGCACACCGUUACCAAUCUCUUCAUUGCGAAUCUCGCGCUCAGUGACAUGCUGCUGUGCUUGUUGGCUGUACCCUUUACACCUCUGUACACUUUCCUAGGCGGUUGGGUUUUCGGUAAAACUCUCUGCCAUUUGGUACCCUACAGUCAGGCCGUAAGUGUGUAUAUCAGCACGCUCACACUGACAAGCAUAGCAGUCGACCGGUUUUUAGUAAUCAUCUAUCCGUUCCAAGCGCGUAUGAAGAUCAAGAUGUGCCUAGUGAUCAUCAUGGGCAUUUGGUUGAUCGCGUCACUGAUUACCUUGCCGUUCGGCCUCUACAUGCAUAUAGUGCAGGAAAAGCAUACCUUCUGGUGCGCGGAGAAUUGGCCUAGCGAGUCAUUUCGCAAGAUAUUCAGUUCGCUGACUUCGAUACUGCAGUUUGUCGUGCCGUUUUUCGUGAUUGCUUUUUGCUACAUAUGUGUGUCAAUCAAAUUGAACGACCGGGCGCGCGCUAAACCCGGUAGCAAGUCCAGCAAGCGUGAGGAAGAGGAUCGCGAGAGAAAGCGCCGGACAAACCGAAUGUUGAUCGCCAUGGUCUCGGUAUUCGGUGUAUGCUGGUUGCCGCUGAACAUCGCCCUCAUUAUUGCUGACUUCUAUACAGAUGUUUACUACGUCUGGCCCUACUUUCGGUUCUACUUCUUCAUAUCGCAUUGCAUCGCAAUGAGCAGCACCUGCUACAAUCCAUUCCUGUAUGCCUGGCUCAAUGACAAUUUCCGGAAGGAAUUUAAACAGGUCCUUCCGUGUUAUACAAGAAAUGGCAAUGGCAACAUUCCGAGGGCCAAAGAGACCGUGAGCAGAGGUGACAGAAUGGAUAACGGUAAUAAUACCAUGCAAGAAACAUUCCUGAACAGUACGAAAGCACAGACUAUCGAAGGAUGUGAGAUGACAACGCUGGUGCUGGACAAGACAACGAAUAUGAGAAGACAGUCAAAUCAGCCCUCGUGCUCGAGGGAUUCCGACGAUGCUCUGUAAGGGAAAGCGCAAAAGUGUAAGUCGCAAGAGGGUCUGCUUCGCUUUCUAAUAUAUGAAAAUCUUUCAAACAAUCUUCUGACAAGAUGUUAGAUUAAACACUUUAUAUAAUGACAAAAAUUUUAAUUUAGUGAUUUUUUGGCAUUUUCUAACAAAAAUUUAUAUGCAAACACUAUUAAGAUUGUAACGUUCCUGACCACUUGUAUUUUCAAUAAAGAACAUGAGCCCAUUUUGAAAAUAAUAUCACUAACAGAGAUAAAAAUCGGCAGAAGAACAAAAAGUUUUGCACUAUAACAAGCUAAAGAACGCAUCAAUCAUGAAGAAUAUCGAUUUUCUUUCGGGCAUGGAAGACUAAAUCAGCAAGCUGACCAGCAUCGAUCGAAGAGAUACAAGAUUAAUCAUGCAAGAGACGAUUAAUUUCUGCAAAAUUUUUUGAAGAGAAAGACAUAUUUUAUGCAGUUGGAAUAACAGGUUAAUUAGCAAUGAGAGGCCCAGAAUUGUGUCGACAGUCAUUAUCACUCUCUAAAGAAUGACUGCUUUUUCUUUAAUAAUUAUAAAUUGAAUCUGUCAAAUUUGAUAAAAAAAUUAUUCUGUAUUUUUUUAAUGGCUGAAUAGAUUAUGUAAAUUUUAAGUCAA
rnacentral:misc_RNA from 1 species